rnacentral:rRNA from 1 species
AGUGAACGCUGGCGGUAGGCCUAACACAUGCAAGUCGAACGGCAGCACAGUAAGAGCUUGCUCUUACGGGUGGCGAGUGGCGGACGGGUGAGGAAUACAUCGGAAUCUACUUUUUCGUGGGGGCUAACGUAGGGAAACUUACGCUAAUACCGCAUACGUCCUACGGGUGAAAGCAGGGGAUCUUCGGACCUUGCGCGAUUGAAUGAGCCGAUGUCGGAUUAGCUAGUUGGCGGGGUAAAGGCACACCAAGGCGACGAUCCGUAGCUGGUCUGAGAGGAUGAUCAGACACACUGGAACGGAGACACGGUCCAGACUCCGACGGGAGGCAACGGUGGAGAAUAUUGGACAAUGGGCGCGAGCCUGAUCCAGCCAUACCGCGUGGGGGAAGAAGGCCUUCGGGUUGUAGAGCCAUUUUGUUGGGAAAGAAAAGAAGCAGGUUAAUACCCCGCUGUUCUGACAGUACCCAAAGAAUAAGCACCGGCUAACUUCGUG